rnacentral:lncRNA from 1 species
GUGAAUACCCGUGUGUUAUGCGUGUAAUUUACAUGAGAAACGUGGAGGAUAACAGCGUUCUCGACGGCGUGAAAGUGAGGCGGUCUCUCAAGAGCGGUGACCGUGUGUUAGAACCUUUCUCAACCCACAGUCCCCCUCUCAGGUACAAACUGGGCAAGUCGGCUGGCUCUGACUGCAGCCCCGCAAAGACAGCUUCCUACAACUGCCCUAGUUUGGUUCUCUGUUUCUGUGAUAAACACCAUGACCAAAAGCAACUUGUGAAGUGUUUGAAGAAUGCCCCUGUUCGAGUGCAAUGCCACUUCAUGAAUCUUGGCAGAUUGCAGGGCCACAACUCCUAUCGUGGAAGAUCAGACGGCCAGGUACUUCAUGUCUGUCUCCACACCCUGUAGGCUUGAGCACAUGCUGAUCUGAGAGUCAGAGUCAAGAAAGAUGUCAUUCACUCUGGCAGCAUCGAAUGUCGGCAGUGGCAGCACACAGUGUCCAGCACAUGGUGCCAACAGCUGUGACAAGCCAGACAAUCCCAAAGUAAGAAAAAAGCUGCAAAUUUAUGAG